UGUCUACUAUAUUAUACUGCACUAUACUAC
rnacentral:piRNA from 1 species